GAUGAACGCUGGCGGCGUGCCUAAUACAUGCAAGUCGAGCGGAAAGGCCUCUUCGGAGGUACUCGAGCGGCGGACGGCUGAGUAACGCGUAGGAACGUACCCCAAAGUGAGGGAUAACUGCUCGAAAGAGUAGCUAAUACCGCAUGUGGUCUAAGGAUUAAAGCUUCGGCGCUUUGGGAACGGCCUGCGUAAGAUUAGCUUGUUGGUGAGGUAACGGCUCACCAAGGCGACGAUCUUUAGCUGGUCUGAGAGGAUGAUCAGCCAGACUGGUACUGAGACACGGACCAGACUCCUACGGGAGGCAGCAGUAAGGAAUAUUGGACAAUGGCCGCAAGGCUGAUCCAGCCAUGCCGCGUGCAGGAAGACGGACCUAUGGUUUGUAAACUGCUUUUGAACGGGAGAAAACCCCCCUACCGUGUAGGGGCGGUNA
rnacentral:rRNA from 1 species